GAUGAACGCUGGCGGCGUGCCUAAUACAUGCAAGUCGAGCGAACAGACGAGGAGCUUGCUCCUCUGACGUUAGCGGCGGACGGGUGAGUAACACGUGGAUAACCUACCUAUAAGACUGGGAUAACUUCGGGAAACCGGAGCUAAUACCGGAUAAUAUAUUGAACCGCAUGGUUCAAUAGUGAAAGACGGUUUUGCUGUCACUUAUAGAUGGAUCCGCGCCGCAUUAGCUAGUUGGUAAGGUAACGGCUUACCAAGGCAACGAUGCGUAGCCGACCUGAGAGGGUGAUCAGCCACACUGGAACUGAGACACGGUCCAGACUCCUACGGGAGGCAGCAGUAGGGAAUCUUGCGCAAUGGGCGAAAGCCUGACGGAGCAACACCGCGUGAGUGAUGAAGGUCUUCGGAUCGUAAAGCUCUGUUGUUGGGGAAGAACAAAUGUGUAAGUAACUAUGCACGUCUUGACGGUACCUAAUCAGAAAGCCACGGCUAACUACGUG
rnacentral:rRNA from 1 species